rnacentral:miRNA from 1 species
CCAAUAUUGUUGUGCUGCUUA